rnacentral:rRNA from 1 species
AAUGAACGUUGGCGGUGUGGAUUAGGCAUGCAAGUCGUGCGCGAAACGUAGCAAUACGUGGAGAGCGGCGAAAGGGAGAGUAAUACAUGGUUAGCUGCCCUCGGGACUGGGAUAGCGGCGGGAAACUGCCGGUAAUACCAGAUGACGUCUUCGGACCAAACGUGUAAACCGGCCCGAGGAGGUGACCAUGUCCUAUCAGCUAGUUGGCGGUGUAAUGGACCACCAAGGCUAAGACGGGUAUGGGGCGUGAGAGCGUGCCCCCACUCACUGGGACUGAGAACUGCCCAGACACCUACGGGUGGCUGCAGUCGAGAAUCUUCGGCAAUGGGCGCAAGCCUGACCGAGCGACACCGCGUGCGGGAUGAAGGCCUUCGGGUUGUAAACCGCUGUCGUAGGGGAGGAAGGUCUGGUGUAUAGCCAGGCUUGACCGAUCCUAGGAGGAAGGGCCGGCUAAUCUCGUGCCAGCAGCCGCCGUAAAAC